rnacentral:misc_RNA from 1 species
CGCUGCCCCUGACAGUAACGGCAGCCCCAACUGAAAAAAAGCUAUUUUUUGCUGGAGAAGCAAAGCGACCAGCGGAAGCUCUUGCUACGAACUAGCAAAAAAAGCUUUUUGAAAGAGGGCUAUAGUGUAUGGCAGGAAAAGGC